UCUAGAUGCCUCUUCCCUAGUGUUGGCCAGGACUGUAUAACGGCCGGGGAAGUUUCCAGUAUCAAAUCAGUCUCUCUAGGGCGGAUGAAACUUUUAUUUUCUGGUCACCAGGUUCAAAGCCCACACGCGUUUCUUAGCAAUGGAAACAAAGACUAGCUUCCCUUAAUCUCCUGAACUUAAUGCAACCAGAAGCAGGAGGAGGUCAAGGAGGAAGUCACAAGCAUCUAACAAGACUUGGCGGCGGUAUUCCUCUGUCUCUCCUGCAGGAACGAACCUGGGCCAGACCUCCCAAGCCUAGAGACGAGCCUGCAGCCAGACCAUCCAAGCAUCUAGAAACGAACCCGGACUCAGACCAUCCAAACUUCCAACAAAACCCUGCAGACGCUAUAGACGCUUAACAAACAGAAUGGUUUUCUCAACAUAGUGAGCUUUGUGCAUUUGAGAUGUUUGUCAAUAUGUGAGAGAGAUGCUUGUCAGUAUGUGAGUGAGAUGCUUGUCAGUAUGCAGGAGAAUAAGUGUUAAGCACAUUUUCACACCUGACAUUCUUUUAACUCGUCGUCUUUAUGAAAUAUGUACAGUAAGAAAUCAGUUACGUCGUUGUCUGUGACGGUAAUUAGUUUCCUGCGUACUUUUUGGCUUUAACGUUUACCAGUGGUGGUGACGUAAUGUGGCUUAGAAAGUGUAGUUUACUUAUCAGUGUCCGUAAAUCAUGAGUUAUCAAUGAUUUCUAGCCAAGUAUGAUGUUCCUUUGUUUGCCUGAAUGAAUCUUACGUCUAUCAGUAACAGUAGCGUAAUGUUGCAUAGAAAGUGCAGCUUACUUGUCAGUGUCCGUAAAGCAUGGAUUAUCAGUUUUUAUAAUUAAGUAUGAUGUUCCUGUGUUUAAAUGAAUCUUAUCAGAAACAGUGAAGUAAUGUUGUUUAGAAAGGGCAGUUAAUGUGCAUAUUUCAAUAAGUCGUGAGUUAUCAGCGUUGUUUGCUAGUUAAUUAUGAUUUCCUGUGUUUGAAUGAAUGAACGUUGUAAGAGAAGUGGGUGAAUGUCACGUAAUUCUCCCUAAAAGCAAGCAAACGCAGAUUGCAUCUGUCAUGAGGUGAAUGUUGAUUGCUGUGCGAGGAAGUAAGAGUAGCAGGCAAACGCAGACUGUAUCGGAUAUGAAGUGAGGAUGAAAAGCCGUAUGAAAAGAUAGAACGAGGCUGUUAUGACCCGAAAUCUUCAGAGAUUGAAUAUCUCGGCAGAACACAUUUCAUACAGUGACACCAUCUGACUUCUUCAUUAUACUGCUGAACACGAACCUUGGCAGUGACCUCGCACAAGAAAGCAAGAAGAAUAAGGCUGCUAUGCCCCGAAGUCCUUCACGCAUUGUUAACAUCUCUGCAGCAGAAUACCUCGUACGGUGACACUACUCGUAUUUGAUCAUAUUGCAGGACGCGCUACUGUCUUGACAAAUGAAACAGAAGAAAUCAAAUACCCUUAUGAAGCAGCUCCGGACUCCAGUAGGUAAAAAUAGAGGCUGAAUAAAACUGCACACUGUUAUAAA